rnacentral:rRNA from 1 species
AACGAACGCUGGCGGCAUGCCUAACACAUGCAAGUCGAACGAGACCUUCGGGUCUAGUGGCGCACGGGUGCGUAACGCGUGGGAACCUGCCCUUAGGUUCGGAAUAACUCCCCGAAAGGGGUGCUAAUACCGGAUAAUGUCUUCGGACCAAAGAUUUAUCGCCUUUGGAUGGGCCCGCGUUGGAUUAGCUAGUUGGUAGGGUAAAAGCCUACCAAGGCGACGAUCCAUAGCUGGUCUGAGAGGAUGAUCAGCCACACUGGGACUGAGACACGGCCCAUACUCCUACGGGAGGCAGCAGUGGGGAAUAUUGGACAAUGGGCGAAAGCCUGAUCCAGCAAUGCCGCGUGAGUGAUGAAGGCCUUAGGGUUGUAAAGCUCUUUUACCCGGGAUGAUAAUGACAGUACCGGGAGAAUAAGCUCCGGCUAACUCCGU